rnacentral:rRNA from 1 species
GAUGAACGCUAGCUACAGGCUUAACACAUGCAAGUCGAGGGGAAACGGCAUCGAAAGCUUGCUUUUGAUGGGCGUCGACCGGCGCACGGGUGAGUAACGCGUAUCCAACCUGCCCAUCACUUGGGAAUAACCUUGCGAAAGUAAGACUAAUGCCCAAUGACAUCCCACGAAGGCAUCCGAAUGGGAUUAAAGAUUUAUCGGUGAUGGAUGGGGAUGCGUCUGAUUAGCUUGUUGGCGGGGUGACGGCCCACCAGGGCAACGAUCAGUAGGGGUUCUGAGAGGAAGGUCCCCCACAUUGGAACUGAGACACGGUCCAAACUCCUACGGGAGGCAGCAGUGAGGAAUAUUGGUCAAUGGGCGAGAGCCUGAACCAGCCAAGUAGCGUGCAGGAUGACGGCCCUAUGGGUUGUAAACUGCUUUUAUAAGGGAAUAAAGUGGGUCACGUGUGACUUUUUGCAUGUACCUUAUGAAUAAGGACCGGCUAAUUCCGUG